UCCUUGAAAGCUGUGGGUAAUGAAACGCCUGGGAAGCUGACUGGCAUCUCACUGGCCGGAAACGCGGCGGGCCCUUCAUGCCGGCCUGCAUUUGUCGUGGCCCUGGCACUUCGAACAAAUCUACGUGGUAUUUGUUGGGAAUCUCAAUAAUAUUGAUUCCUUUAACAGUGAGACUCGCCGUGUCAGCACCCCAGCAUUUUCCACCCCCAGAAGCAGUCGUGCACAGUGGGAGAAGGGAACCUGCAACAGAGUAAGGUUUUCUGGCUGGAUCCCAUGAGACCGACGUCUGGAAUUAAAUGGCCACAGCGACAGAUUAUGAAAUCUCAAAGCCAGCAACCGUGGACUUUUCAUCCUCGAACCCCAA